rnacentral:rRNA from 1 species
AACGCUGGCGGCAUGCCUAACACAUGCAAGUCGAACGAGACUUCGGUCUAGUGGCGGACGGGUGAGUAACGCGUAGGAACCUGCCAAGCAGUGGGGAAUAACAGCUGGAAACGGCUGCUAAUACCGCAUACGCCCUUCGGGGGAAAGAUUUAUCGCUGUUUGAGGGUCCUGCGUUCGAUUAGCUAGUUGGUGAGGUAACGGCCCACCAAGGCGACGAUCGAUAGCUGGUCUGAGAGGAUGAUCAGCCACACUGGGACUGAGACACGGCCCAGACUCCUACGGGAGGCAGCAGUGGGGAAUAUUGGACAAUGGGGGAAACCCUGAUCCAGCAAUGCCGCGUGCGUGAAGAAGGCCUUAGGGUUGUAAAGCGCUUUCACCUGUGAUGAUGAUGACAGUAGCAGGAGAAGAAGCCCCGGCUAACUCCGUG